GAUGAACGCUGGCGGCGUGCCUAAUACAUGCAAGUCGAGCGAACAGAUGCUGAGCUUGCUCCUCUGACGUUAGCGGCGGACGGGUGAGUAACACGUGGAUAACCUACCUAUAAGACUGGGAUAACUUCGGGAAACCGGAGCUAAUACCGGAUAAUAUAUUGAACCGCAUGGUUCAUUAGUGAAAGACGGUUGUGCUGUCACUUAUAGAUGGUUCCGGGCCGGUUUAGCUAGUUGGUAAGGUAACGGCUUAUCAAGGCAAGUAUGCGUAGCCGACGUGCGAGGGUGAUCGGCCACCCUGGAGCUGAGACGCGGACAAUGCUCCUACGGUAGGCAGCAGUAGGGAAUCUUCGGCAAUGGGGGAGAGCAUGACGGAGCAGCGGCGCGUGAGUUAUAGAGACCUUGGGAUCGGGAAACUGUGUUAUGAGUGAAGAACAAAUGUGUAAGUAAAUAUGCACGGCUUGACGGUACCUAAUCAGAAAGCCACGGCUAACUACGUG
rnacentral:rRNA from 1 species